CUCUUUGUUGUUCUCUUGCUACAACUUCUAAAUGCCUUUUGAUCCCAAAGUUGUGGCCAUUAGUAGGAUCUAUCAUGGACUUAUCAUGCUCUACAUUCAUAACAUGAGAUACAUUGCAUUUGUUAGCUCUUCCUCAACCCCACUCUAUAUUUGGGAUUACUUAAUGCAUUGAUUUGAGAUUAGAAAACUCUAUGACACUGGACUAUCUAAAGGUGGACUUAUUCUUUAAC
rnacentral:lncRNA from 1 species